CACGCCGUAAACGAUGAGCACUAGGUGUCGGGUACGUGAGUAUUCGGUGCCGCAGCUAACGCAUUAAGUGCUCCGCCUGGGGAGUACGCACGCAAGUGUGAAACUCAAAGGAAUUGACGGGGACCCGCACAAGCAGCGGAGCAUGUGGUUUAAUUCGAAGCAACGCGAAGAACCUUACCAGGGCUUGACAUCCUUCUGAAAGAUCGGGUAAUGCUGAUCCUCCCUUCGGGGCAGAAGAGACAGGUGG
rnacentral:rRNA from 1 species